GGUACCUUGGCGAAGAGGUUAUCGCGCUCCCUUUGGGACUUUAACAAUGGGAGAUGUCAGGGGUUCGAAUCCCCUAGGUGCCC